GUCGGAUGUGGUGGUGGGCACCUGUAAUCCCAGCUACUCGGGAGGCUGAUGCAGAAGAAUCGCUUGAACCCGGGAGACAGAGAUUGCAGUGAGCCAAGAUCUUGCCACUGCACUCUAGCCUGGGUUACAGAGCGAGAUUCUGUCUCAA
rnacentral:sRNA from 1 species